AGAUUCCCCAGGCGUGCCUCUGGUGUGGGACUUGCUGACUGCUUGAUGCGAGCAUCUGCCCCAGGGACUGGCGUUCCUUCAGGCUGUUCAUCAAAUGUUGAAGGAAGGUUAAAAGUUGCAAGUUCUGAAGAAUGAAGGUACUAGACAUUAGACCUGAAAGUAACUUCGACAAAAUCUGGAAGCGAACUCUGGGCCCCCAUUUCUCCUCAUUGUGCUAGAUGGUCUUGGUGUUGCCUUCCCGCUGAAACAGUCCAAGAGCA